GUUUCACUAUGUUCAACUCAUUCUGUGAAACGAAGCGCAGAGACUACGUACCUCGGCCCGAUCAUCCAAUUCGUUGAACAUAGUGAAACUUCAUUCUAUUAAGUUGCCAUCCCGUCUCCUUCAGCAGAUCCUGGAGGCCUGGAAGUAGUUGAGUUUCCACCCAGGUCUACUGGCUCACAUUUAAGGCCCUUUCAGGUAGUUAGAUUUGUAAGUUAGCGGGGAUUUACCUAUCUGAUCAUCCUAUUCGACUGAAGUAUAUCGGGGGAGGAUGUUACAGGUGUUCCUGAGAGAACAAGUCUUUCUAUUGAGUUGCAUUCCCUUAUCCACUAAGAGAUCAAUAGGCUAUGACAGCUUCUUCACAGCCAUUUAGUAUUCCCGGUGAAGCAGUGACUCUUCCAUGACCAUUCCGAAGCCCUUAAGGGAUCAAGACAGCUUAGGGAGGCACAGCCCCCUUGGUUGGGUUCCCUAAAAAAGAAUGAAAAGAAUGGAAGUCGGAUUCGCUAACCUUUCGGCCGGAGUC
rnacentral:lncRNA from 1 species